rnacentral:misc_RNA from 1 species
CGCUCCUGGAAACAGAUCAAGUUCUACGUGUACAACCGCAUCCUGAAGCGACGCAGGAUGCAGAAUACUGAAUGAGGGUCUGAUAGACAACUCAUUGUAAAAACUUGCAAUUGUAAGAAUUUUUGAACAGGAAUUUUUCUUUUUUUACAUGAGGAACAUGUAGUUUUUAUUUGUUGUUGUUUAUGCAGACAGAUGUAUUUGUAUUUUAAUUACCAAAGACUCAGGAAAGUUUUGCCCAUUGAAGUGUUCAGUUAUUGGCCAUUUCCUUUUUUCAUUCUACAUACAUGUAAAUAAAACGCAUUCAAUUAUUGGUGUCUCACUAUGUGUUUAAUUUUUUCUAAAUUCAUUUUUAACAUAUUUUUCUAGACUUGCCAUCAUUUUAAACAUUUUUCUAGACUUGCCAUCAUUUUUAACAUAUUUUGCGAGACUUGCCAUAAACACAAUAGGAUUUCAUCCUGAGAUUGUUAUGAUUUUAUAUACAGUAUGUAUCACAUCAUGGUGUAUUGAAUGACAAAUACAUGUUAUACAGUAUCUGUUGAUUUGAUAUAAUAAAUUCAGAUAUUGUC